ensembl:lncRNA
AAAUAGUUCUACAAAUCUGAGCUGUUGGUGUGUCCUUGGAUUGUGUGGUAAUAAUAUUAGAGCCUGCAAGCUUUCUUACUGAAUCUCUACUAUGAGUCAUGUUACCUGAGAUUAAUUCUAUGUUUACCUGUCAGCCUGGACGAAUGUGCUGUGUGAAGGAAAUUAAAUUAAAUCAGAUCUGAACUGCGUACAUUUAAGGAACCUGUUCAUAUUUAAUAUGAACCAGUGAUUUUUUUGAUUGCUGAUUCCAAGAGAGUCUUUGUGGAAAUCCUGUUUGGCUUUUUGUUAUUUUAAUUCUCUUCUCUGUUUUCCAGAACAGUUCUCCACAGUCACUGUCCACAUGGGUCAGUGGCGCCAAGAAGCACUCUGCUAAUGUGGGACUCUGACCAGCAACAUCCAGCAGGACCCAGACAGCGUUUUCUAUCUCCCAGCUGGAGGUUUUGUUUGUCUGUAACUGGAGAGUCAGAUUUUUGUUGAGCUUCACACUUGCAGAGGUAAGUCAGUUUGCAGAGAUCCCUCCCACCCUGGCUUUCUUAUCUGAAACAGUAAUAUUUCAGUGACUGCUGCUUAUACCACAGGUUAAUACACGCUACCGAUCCCUGAUAGGAGAAUCAUCAAUUUUGGCAACAAAGAAGCCUGGUGGAUGUUUGUUUACAGUCUGAUGGUGGGACAUCAUGCUCUGCAUCUUCAAAGUUUGCCUCCUCAUUAUUAUUCAUACCCAGUAAUGUGAAGUAUGCUCAUAUCUACUAUAACUGAACCAACCUGGUGCUCUUCAUUUAUGGAGGCUGUUGAGUCUGAAUGUUGGAUGUUGUGUAUCUCGUGUUCUCUGGGCUUUGUUGUCCUCAGUCUUUUCGCAGGAUCAGAAAACAAAACCAGGAGGCGCGUAAAUGUUGCUUCUCCAUGAUGUUUCUUCAAAUGUUUCUUCUGGAUGAUGAUAAGACUGUGACACGGGAUGCACCUUUGGUCUUGUGAUGAAGCAAAGCUCAGGAAGAAGUGGGAUUAAAUGGUACCCACAUGUGUGCUGCUGAGAAGGAUGUACAGGGGCACCUGCAGCCAAAUCCAAGCCUCAGGUUAGUUGUAGUUGCAGAAUGCUAUAGACUGAGACAGCUGAGGCAUCAAAUGUUUGAUUAAACGGAUGAAAAAGAGAAGUUUCUUCCCUAUAAUUAUCACUUCUUAAAAUCUGUAGCAACUUCAAGUCUGUCAGCGUGCGGAGCAUGCUCAGAAUGUGACAAUAUAUUUUUGUUCAAUAUUUAAUUUCUUUCAGUUGCAAUUGGUAAAUGAAAAAAAAUAUUUUCUUAUAAUUUAGCAAACUAAUUUAUCAAAAAAAAAAUAUAUACAUAUAUCUGUAUUAGUUUUAAUAAAUUAAUUUGACACCUGUAUGGAAAAUACCAUAUUGUAUUCAUACAGAAUCAGUUUGGUAUCAUUGUUGGUCUGCUCACUGAUUGUUGAAGCUAAGAGCUGCUUUGAUCUGUUUAGAUCUAAAGUAUCCAAAGUUGAGCUCUGAUGUUUCUUCACCCCUGUGUGUGUGAUAUGUGAUUCCUACAUGCUGGCAGAGCAGAGCAGCAGUUUUUGCUGACAGAUGGUGACGGUGUGGAGAGACGGUGGUGUUUCCUCAGAAGAACCAGCAGAGUCACUUGCUGACUGAUGCUCGUCUGCACUGCACAGAGGAAAUCAGCUGACCGAGGAGUGUUUCUGAGUGAGGGGGAGAGGAGUCAUCAUCCAGGUAAAGUGACGUGGAUCAGUGGACACACUUGUCUCCCCUUUAAAGGAGACGAUCCAAGUCAUCCUUAAAUAUGGGCAGCAUAUCAGUCUUGGACUGUCUAACCUGCCGGAGCAGCACUGAAUGACCACCACACACGAGCAUGUUCCUGCAACAUUCAGCAUCUGAUCCUUCAUCUGUGUGCUUCUGCUUUUGUGUCACAUGUCAAACAGCUGGAGAGGAAACUACACCAGUGUACUGGGAUGUUUCACCAACACACCAGAUGCUGUUCCUUCAUGGUGACAUCACCAGAGACAGCCCCGCCCACCUCAGGACCUCGCCAUUGAUCAUGAUGAUUAUAAUGAUGACAGCGAGCGGAACUAAGACUGUAAAAAUCCACGACCAGAAUGUUUCUUUCUAAUUAUGAAUGAAUACUGAGAGCCUCUUUCUGUGUUUUGUCUGUUUUGGGGUUGUUUUUUUUACCUCAUUUGUUACUAACAAAGUUCACAAACUCACACAGUUUACAUUCUGCAUGUUUCCAUCUUUACCAGCCACACUCCAACUGCAUUUAAGAAAAUAAUCCUUAGAAAUCGUCGUUUUUCUCUUUUGUAAUUGAUGAUAAUUCAGUGAAUAUACUGCGCUGCUUCCUUUUAUUGCGUCGCACAUUGCUUUAAGUUUUUCAGUGUCCAGUUAUUUUUUACUGCUGUUUGAAUUCUCUGUAUGUUUGACCCUGUAGACCAUAGGUGUCAAACUCUGGCCCGUGGGCCAAAUUUGGCCCGCAGCCUAAUUACAUUUGGCCCGCGAAGCCAUACCAAAUUACUAUUAGAGCAGGCCUACUGGUAUUAUACAGCUAAUAUAUAUAUUGUUUAGUAUUAGGCUUUGCUUGUUCCAUAUUCAGUUUUUCAGCAAAACUUGUUUGAGUCCAUAACAAAAGAUUCAUUCUUAUAUCUGGAGGAAGAUUUUUUUUCAAUAAAUAUUAACGUUAGCCCGCGACUUUGUUCCAGUUUUGAAUUUUGGCCCACUGUGUAUUUGAGUUUGACACCCCUGCUGUAGACUGUUUGAUGGACUGCUUGUCUUCCUGUUUGUAACCGCCGCCUGUUUUUUAAUAAAGAUUUGGAUUUCUGACUUCAAC